rnacentral:tRNA from 1 species
AUCCCCUAUAAAUAAAGGCGAUUUGUUUAAUGCUCUUAUUCACUCUUUAACACAUUUACACUAUCAAGAUAGCCCUCCCAAGGCUGAAACACGGGUUCGAAUCCCGUAGGGGCUACCA